AAGCUAACUUCGGUUAGUGGAGAGUGGCGCACGGGUGAGUAACGCGUGGGGAUCUACCCUUUGGUACGGGAUAACGUUUGGAAACGAACGCUAAUACCGUAUAUUGUCUACGGACGAAAGAUUUAUCGCCAAAGGAUGAACCCGCGUAGGAUUAGAUAGUUGGUGGGGUAAUGGCCUACCAAGUCUACGAUCUUUAGCUGUUCUGAGAGGAAGAUCAGCCACACUGGAACUGAGACACGGUCCAG
rnacentral:rRNA from 1 species